GGGGAGUGAUUCUGAUGCUCAGCUGGUGGUCACAGGAACAUCACUGUCUCAGCUCAGGCAUCCACGAUGCCCCAGAACUUCUCCAUGAGAGAUGAGACUUUCCUUCUCCAGAGUCUCGUCUGCGUUUGGUUUCCUAGUCCCUCCACGGUGUGCUGAGAAAGCAUGGUCACUCAGAGCCUCAUGAUCUAAAACUAUGGUCCAUCCUGGAGGGCUGGUUCACCUUCUGGAAGGCCUAAAUUCUUGAAGUAAAAUAAAGAACUAGUCUUCCUCAUAACAC